rnacentral:rRNA from 1 species
AAACGUAGGAGGCUAGCGUUAUCCGGAUUUAUUGGGCGUAAAGCGCGUGCAGGCGGUUUGAUAAGUUGGAUGUGAAAUCUCCCGGCUUAACUGGGAGCGGUCGUUCAAAACUAUCAGACUAGAGAAUGGGAGAGGAAGGUGGAAUUCCGGGUGUAGUGGUGAAAUGCGUAGAUAUCCGGAGGAACACCAGUGGCGAAAGCGGCCUUCUAGACCAUUUCUGACGCUAAGACGCGAAAGCUAGGGUAGC